AAAAAGGUAAACCGUGGGUUUCCAUGUCAAUAUUUGACUGUCCGUUUUAUAUGAAAAAUUUUUAUAAUUAGUAUUUUCAUUAUUGUUAGAUGAUAAAACAUGAUUAAUACUUUAUGCGUGACUUAUUUUUUUAAUUUUUUUAAUAAUUUUUUUAAAUAAGACGGACGGUCAAACAUUAGACACAAAAAUUAGGGUUUGUCUCUUU
rfam:Oryza rufipogon genomic scaffold, chr03